CUCCAGAACGCACGAACCGUUUUCCACGGUUUUCGUUUGAAAGGUCUCGGGCUCCUUAGCAAGGAAAUUUUUCAAGAGAAUAGCAGGAAAUCAGGUAAAAUCAUUGGUGGCGAAACUGAGUUCGCCGGGUUUGCUAUUUAGGUUUAAAAAGAAAUCACCGUUACACAAAGGAAAAUGUUACCGCCAUAGCUACCCCAAAUAAGGAUGUUAAUUAAUUUACUUUUUAAUAAUAAAACAUAUUUUUUGAUCGUUUUCUUGUUUCCUUAUUUUAUGACGUAAAUGUAAGUUAGUUAAUAUUUAUACAGUAUCGUUUAUUUUUAGCAUAGAAGACCAUGAAUUAGUUUUUUGUUUGACGUGACGUCAAGGCGUCAUAUAAAUCUUAGUGGACGCAAACAGCGUCCUUUGAUAUUUUCAAAAUGUGAGCGACUUUUAAAAUGUUAUUAAUUGGUCUAUUAACAUUAAAUAAAUAGUGGCAACAUGUUAUCCUGUUACUCGUACAAAAACGAUGGAGAUUGGAAUCUUUUGGACACUAGCCGUACCUAAUAGGUAGAAGUUGCGGACGGAAGUAGUUCCGUUUGAGACAUCACGUAGGUAACCAACUAAGAACCUACCUACUUAUAUGUGCCUACUUUAUUUUUAUUUUUUUAUAUCAUUCAACGUCUUCUCUCGUCUUGGCAAGAGAGAGUGUCAGAUUCUUACUGACUAAAAACCACCCCAUCCCUAUUCCUGCUUUUCGAGCCGUAACCGGGGGGCGCUGAGGACGACCACCAGGGUGGUUUUUGUGAGGUAAAAAUCCUACACUCCCUAGUAUUUUAUCCCCAGAAAGCUAAGCGCCUUUUAAAAGUUUACCCCGUCAUCAAAAUAAAGAUACAAACAAAACUUACGGAAUAUUCUGAUACGGAUAUACAAUAUUUUAGAAAUUCAUAAAAGUAGGUAAUUACUACGGUAAACCCGAUAGGUAGUCCGCAGCUCCGGAUUAAGCAUCAGCCCCACUGGCCACCAAUGCAAUGCAACCUUAAUGCAAUUUCUCAAGUAGGUACCUAUUUUUGUUUUAAUUUAAUUUAUACCGUCAUCGAUAAGUAUUGUUAUGAUUAGCGGAUAAUUUCUUAAACAAUAAAGAAAUCAAAACAUAAUAAAUAUUGCCUAGUGACGUACGUGCGUAUCUACGUACGUACCUACCUAUUAUUUAUUACUUAUCUAUUUACGCUUUCAUUCAAGUUUCAUGUUUGAAGUUCAAUUGGACUUUAAAAAUGUGUUUGAAGAUCAUGAUCUUGUUGGGGAAGCUAUGAUAUGGUAUUUUCUUUUUUUAUACAACAUGCAACAUGAUUUUUGCCUUACGACAACUUAAUGUAAGUAUAAUUUUAUUUAUGGUAGGUAUAAGAUAAGUAAUCUUCUUCUUUAUAAAUAUAAAUCAAUUGCUAUUCGUUAGUCUCGCUAAAACUCGAGAACGGCUGGACCGAAUUAAGAAAAUUUUUGUCGUGAAUUAUUUGUACUAGUGCAGGGAAGAUUUAAAAGGUGGGAAUAAAAUGUUUAAGACGGCACGAAGUUUAUUAUAUAUGUAUAAAUAUAUUUAGGUAUAGGUGAGCUAGUUAUGUAUAAUUAAGUACGAAGUAUAUACGUAUUACUUACACGUUAACAGCAAAUUGUUUUAAAACACCUUUUAGCGCAGAAGUGUGAAUUUCAACAAAAUCAUAAUUAUUGCUCUUACGCAAUAGGUAGUGCGAAUUUUAUCAAAAUAAUAAAAAAUUGUAAGUGCAUAACACAUAGGUACAUGCAAGUGCAUAAUACAUAGGUACUUGUAAAGUAGUAUUAUUACUACGCGAAAACCUUAACCAUUAACAGCUAACGACGAUUAACUGUUACCGAAAACUGCAAAAAGUCGACAUUCUAACCCAGUUAACAUUUCGGACGCAAUUCACGCAUAUAUCAAGUACCAAUCAACUUACUUUAUCAUGCAUACAAAUUACAAACUCAUUUUACAAUGAAGGUAGGCUGAAUGGCCAAACGGAUCCCUUUAACAGACUGACAAUAAACACGGACGCUCGCCCAUUCUUUAUCUAUAGAGUACGAGGAAUCACAAAUUAGCUAACUACUUCCCCGAUCCAUCUGUAUAAAGUAUCAAGUAUGUUUGUGACAGAUAAUAAUGUAAGGAAACCAGAGUAAAUAUAGAAAUUACAGAGUCCAUAAUUCAUUGGCCAGUGGACAGUUUACAUGUAUAAAAUAUCGUACCACUUUAUCAUGUUGCUUCUAAUUAAUACACAUCAUCUAAUUGGAGCAAUUAUGUUUUUACUUUUCGUGACACAUUUAUCAAUAAAAAUUGGCGUGUCGAAAUCACAUGGCUAGCUAAGCUGAACUUGAUAAUGAGGCGCAGAGGACAGAGGUCAGUGCAAUCAUAGACAGAUACCGGGAGGCCAGUGAGACAAAUAUCCAAUAUAUCUAAUUACUAGUGAUUUACUACGACUCUGCUCUAUCAUUUUGUAUUAUGUGUUAAUGUUGUUGCAUUGCAAUUUUGUUUCUAACUGGAUAAUAAAUAAAUAAAUAAUAAUUAAUUGAAUACGAAA